GGGGUUCGGUUGGGUGAUGGGGGUUUUGUAGCUUUCCUGUAUUCGUUUCUUGUUUCUAUAUCUUUUCUAUUUCUUUACCAGAUUCCCCACCUCCUCUGCUCUUUCUAUCGUAAAUCCUUUUCGGGUUUUUGUUGUUGCUAUUGUUUUUUUAAAUUAUUCCUUCCUUUUUUAUAAUUUUGGUUCACACUCCCACAUGCAUGUUUUCUUGGGUUUGUCUGAUCUGGACUGGAUCACAAGGAUCUAUCUUUAGACAGAGGAAGAGAGUGUCGUGGGUUUUGGUGCUCGAGUCUAUUUGUACAGCAUCUUGGUUUCUUUGAGGAGGGAAGAAGAAGAAGAAGAAGAAGAAGAAGAAUGAGGAGGUGAGAUUUGUGCCUAUUGGAUCCCUUUCCUGCUUUGGGCCACGCAAGAUUCUUUGCUUGUACUUCUUGAGGAUAUCUGCAGCUUUCUCAAUUUGUUAUUCUCCUGUCCUGCCUGGAUGAAACUUGAACUUAGUCUGGUUCUCGUUCCGGCAAGAUUGCUAGUUAUUUCUCAUAUCGUCAUCUUGGCACCCAGUGUGUGAACUGGGUCCAUUGCUUCUAUUGAAAUUCAGUGGUUCUUAUUUCAUAGGAGCAAAUAGUUGAUGGGUGUUGAUUAUGCUACCUUCUGGUCUUUUAGGUUGUAAUUUGGGCGGUGAUUAGCAAUCUUAUCCAAUUGAGUUCUGGUGUUGGAUGAUUGAAUUGAGGUUUUGAUUGUGUAUAUUGUUUUCUGGUUUCAUCUACAUACUGCUGAGGCAUGGCGGGGAUUGAUAUUUCCAAAUAUGCCCAUAGUCCCGUGCAUAAGGCCAUUGCAACGAGAGAUUAUGCCACUCUCAGAAAGAUACUUGCUGGCCUUCCACGACUUUGUGACCCUGCCGAGAUUCGGACAGAGGCAGUUUCAUUGGUCGAGGAAGAGAAGGCAGAUACUAUCGCUGCAGUCAUUGAUAGGCGUGAUGUCCCAAACCGUGACACUCCUCUACACUUGGCUGUCAAACUAGGUGAUGAGACUGCGGCUGAGAUGCUUUUGGUUGCUGGUGCUGAUUGGAGCUUGCAGAAUGAGCAGGGAUGGAGUGCACUUCAAGAAGCCAUUUGCAAUAGAGAAGAGGGGAUAGCAAUGAUCAUAGUAAGGCAUUACCAGCCAUUAGCUUGGGCAAAAUGGUGUAGGAGGUUGCCUCGUUUGGUGGGGACCAUGCAAAGGAUGAGAGACUUCUAUAUGGAAAUUACAUUCCAUUUUGAGAGUUCUGUCAUACCUUUCAUUUCAAGGAUUGCACCUUCAGAUACAUACAAAAUUUGGAAGAGAGGUGCAAAUUUGAGGGCAGACAUGACUUUGGCUGGUUUUGAUGGUUUUAGGAUUCAGCGUUCAGAUCAGAGUAUACUGUUCCUUGGCGAUGGAUCUGAGGAUGAGAAAGUUCCUCCUGGAUCACUUUGCAUGAUCUCACAUAAGGACAAGGAAGUGAUGAAUGCUUUGGAUGGUGCUGGUUCGCCAGCUACUGAAGAAGAGGUUCGGCAAGAGGUGGCUGCCAUGUUUCAGACCAAUAUAUUCCGGCCAGGAAUUGAUGUGACCCAGGCAGUUCUUUUGCCACAGUUGACUUGGAGACGGCAGGAAAAAACAGAACUGGUGGGCCCAUGGAAAGCAAAGGUCUAUGAUAUGCACAAUGUGGUUGUUAGCAUUAAAUCUAGAAGGGUUCCAGGAGCUAUGACAGAUGAUGAAUUCUUCUCAUCCUGCAAUGAGAAUGAAACAGAGAGUGAGGAGCUCAAUGACAUUUUGACAGAAGAAGAAAGAAGGCAACUUGAAGUCGCUCUUAAAUUGGAUUCAUCAGAAUUGACCAGUGAGAAUGGUGAUGGGAUUAUUGCUCAUCGUCAUAGCUGUUAUGAGCAUAGGGAGAUUCCUAUUGAAGAUGGAAAUAGUUGUAGAAAUGGAGAGACUAAGCAGGAAAAGAAAGGGUGGUUUGGCGGAUGGAGGAAGCGGGAUUCUAAAGUUGAAGGGCAGAAGAAAAUUGUUCCACCAAGAAGUUCCCUUUGUGUUGAUGAGAAGGUGAGCGACUUAUUAGGGGACUCUCCAUCCGGUAGUCAGAUUAAACCAGGAAGGCAUUCUGUUGAGAUAGUUGUGAGGGAUGAGCACCGGAAAGGAAGAGAUACCAAGGCAUCUGCUUCUUUGAGCACUGAGAGUAGUAAUCGGCGCAAGGAAGGAAGCCAUGAGAAUGAAUAUAAGAAGGGAUUGAGGCCUAUUCUCUGGCUUUCACCAAACUUCCCAUUACAAACUGAGGAACUUCUUCCAUUGCUUGACAUCCUUGCAAAUAAGGUUAAGGCAAUUCGUCGUUUAAGAGAGCUGCUUACAACCAAACUUCCAAUGGGAACCUUUCCUGUGAAGAUGAAAAAGGGGACAUAUGCUAGAGGUACUAGGAGCCUCUAGGAAGAUGAUAGUGAGGGAGUACAGCAAUCCAUAUUGUAGACAUUAAAGGCUUCAGGAAUCUUGCAAUCAAGACAAGCAAAUUUUUUUCUGGGGCUUAGUUUGUGAGACUGGACCUGGUUGAUUUUGGGUCAAGGUGUAGUUGAGCUGGCUUUGGCUGGGAAUUUAUUUGAGGGAUAAUAAUUUAUUAUGGUGAAAUAUGGUUUGUGAAUGUUGAUUGGAAUUAGUCUGUCAUUCGCUUUUCUUCAAAUUUGGGAUUCGUGAUACUCGAUGCUGAUCUGACUACAUUAUGCUUUAUGCUUGGAUGCAUAAUUAGGAGUACAGUUAUUAGACCUCUAUGAUUGGCUGCUCAAAACAGGUAGCUCUGAACCAGAUACCUUUUUUGAAGCUGAACUUGAUACAAAUUAAUUUAAAUUGCUAAAACUGAGCUGAAGUUGGUAAGUUUGACCUGGUUGGCUCAUUCUGAUCAGUAAAAUGGGGGAAAUCAGACCGAGUUAUGAUAGUUGAUAGUGUUUGAACUUUGAAACAAUGAAUCCUUUAACACCAUCUUUAGUGGAAGACAACUUGAUAGUUUCUCCAGUAAGAUUGAGUGAUGUGCAGAACCUCUGCAACUCUUCUUCCCUUCCUUUCUGAGUCUGUCCUGUUUUUUGCUGUUGUGAUAUGUCAGAAAAACUCGGGUAACAAUUCGUAAAAUUGUUGUUCAUUCUAAUGUAGUAACUGUCUAUUUUUCAAGAGAAGAGCUUUCUGUUUUAUUUAUUUAUAUUGUAUUCUUUAAUAAAUUCU